UUACGGUUAUAUCACGUUGAAACACCAAUUCCCCUACGAUCAACGUAGUUAAGCAAUGUCGAGCCUGGUCAGUACCUAGAUGGGUGACCACUUGGAAAUACCAGGUGCUGUAAG